rnacentral:rRNA from 1 species
UACGUAGGGUGCAAGCGUUGUCCGGAAUUACUGGGCGUAAAGCGCACGUAGGCGGCUUUUUAAGUCAGAGGUGAAAUCCCGGGGCUCAACCCCGGAACUGCCUUUGAAACUGGAGAGCUAGAAUCUUGGAGAGGCGAGUGGAAUUCCGAGUGUAGAGGUGAAAUUCGUAGAUAUUCGGAAGAACACCAGUGGCGAAGGCGACUCGCUGGACAAGUAUUGACGCUGAGGCGCGAAAGCGUGGGGAGCAAACAGG